GUUGGAAGUUAGAGUUGUCUUUCUUUAAUAAUCACCUAUUUAAGUAGUACAAAUAAAUCACUAGAAGAAGUGAUUUAAUUUUAUUGUAGCUUUAAAUAUAGAAUACUAAUGAUCCAGGGACUAAUUAUGUAUCUUAACUUAUCAGACCCAACAUCUGUGUUGUCUAGGAUGACCAGGUCAUUUCAGGUGAUGACCUUGUACUGAAUCUAGGAUAAUGACAUAAAAAUCACUUGUUUAAGUAUCAGACCUCAAUUUCCUUCCCAAAAAUCACUUCUUUAAGUAUCAUUUUUUUAAUAACCCCCACUAAUUUCAACACCCCCGAACAGUGAAAUUUGUAUCGCGAACAGUAGAAUUUUAUUACAUAAUCUGAAAGAUGAAACCUUGAACUUCACAGGAAAAAUACUCCCACUGCUGUGAAAAAUCUUUUAAGAAAGUAUCAGUUCAUUAUGUAAAGCCA
rnacentral:lncRNA from 1 species